rnacentral:lncRNA from 1 species
AACCUUCCAUGUGAAUCUGUGAGCGUUGAGUAGACAUAUUUUAUGUUAGUCUCACAUCCGUUCUCUGUUGCUUGCCCAAGACUCAAUAUAUUGUGCUUCAGGUGGGAUAUGUAGUAUAUGUCUUUUAGUAUCUUCUUCUCUCCAGUCUUGUACACAAAAGUAACCACACCCUUUCCUACAAUGUCAACACACGAUCUAUCACCAAACUUCACCUUCCCUUUGGUGUUGAGAUUCAAACUCGAAAAAAAACUCCUUGUUUUCCAUCAUGUGAUUACUCGCUCCAUUAUCCAAAUAACAGACACUUGCAUUGCCUUUGUCGAUAUCAAGAUUCUUCGGAAUCACCU